rnacentral:rRNA from 1 species
CAGUAGCCGCGGUAAUACAGAGGGUGCGAGCGUUAAUCGGAUUUACUGGGCGUAAAGCGUGCGUAGGCGGCUAAUUGAGUCGGAUGUGAAAUCCCCGAGCUUAACUUGGGAAUUGCAUUCGAUACUGGUUAGCUAGAGUGUGGGAGAGGAUGGUAGAAUUCCAGGUGUAGCGGUGAAAUGCGUAGAGAUCUGGAGGAAUACCGAUGGCGAAGGCAGCCAUCUGGCCUAACACUGACGCUGAGGUACGAAAGCAUGGGGAGCAAACAGGAUUAGAGACCCGUGUAGUCCCUGUCUCUUAUAC